rnacentral:rRNA from 1 species
AACGACCGCUGGCGGCAGGCUUAACACAUGCGAGUCGAACGGAUCCUUCGGGAUUAGUGGCAGACGGGUGAGUAACGCGUGGGAACGUACCCUUUGCUACGGAAUAACUCAGGGAAACUUGAGCUAAUACCGUAUGUGCCCUACGGGGGAAAGAUUUAUCGGCAAAGGAUCGGCCCGCGUUGGAUUAGCUAGUUGGUGGGGUAAUGGCCUACCAAGGCGACGAUCCAUAGCUGGUCUGAGAGGAUGAUCAGCCACACUGGGACUGAGACACGGCCCAGACUCCUACGGGAGGCAGCAGUGGGGAAUAUUGGACAAUGGGCGCAAGCCUGAUCCAGCCAUGCCGCGUGAGUGAUGAAGGUCUUAGGAUUGUAAAGCUCUUUCACCGGUGAAGAUAAUGACGGUAGCCGGAGAAGAAGCCCCGGCUAACUUCGUG